rnacentral:rRNA from 1 species
CGUAGGUGGCAAGCGUUGUCCGGAAUUAUUGGGCGUAAAGCGCGCGCAGGCGGUUCCUUAAGUCUGAUGUGAAAGCCCCCGGCUCAACCGGGGAAGGUCAUUGGAAACUGGGGAACUUGAGUGCAGAAGAGAAGAGCGGAAUUCCACGUGUAGCGGUGAAAUGCGUAGAGAUGUGGAGGAACACCAGUGGCGAAGGCGGCUCUUUGGUCUGUAACUGACGCUGAGGCGCGAAGGCGUGGGGAGCAAACAGGAUUAGAUACCCUGGUAGUCCACGCCGUAAACGAUGAGUGCUAAGUGUUAGAGGGUUUCCGCCCUUUAGUGCUGCAGCUAACGCAUUAAGCACUCCGCCUGGGGAGUACGGCCGCAAGGCUG